UAGGGAAUCUUCGGCAAUGGACGGAAGUCUGACCGAGCAACGCCGCGUGAGUGAAGAAGGUUUUCGGAUCGUAAAGCUCUGUUGUAAGAGAAGAACGAGUGUGAGAGUGGAAAGUUCACACUGUGACGGUAUCUUACCAGAAAGGGACGGCUAACUACGUGCCAGCAGCCGCGGUAAUACGUAGGUCCCGAGCGUUGUCCGGAUUUAUUGGGCGUAAAGCGAGCGCAGGCGGUUAGAUAAGUCUGAAGUUAAAGGCUGUGGCUUAACCAUAGUACGCUUUGGAAACUGUUUAACUUGAGUGCAAGAGAGGAGAGUGGAAUUCCAUGUGUAGCGGUGAAAUGCGUAGAUAUAUGGAGGAACACCGGUGGCGAAAGCGGCUCUCUGGCUUGUAACUGACGCUGAGGCUCGAAAGCGUGGGGAGCAAACAGGAUUAGAUACCCUGGUAGUCCACGCCGUAAACGAUGAGUGCUAGGUGUUAGACCCUUUCCGGGGUUUAGUGCCGCAGCUAACGCAUUAAGCACUCCGCCUGGGGAGUACGACCGCAAGGUUG
rnacentral:rRNA from 1 species